rnacentral:rRNA from 1 species
CCUACGGGUGGCAGCAGUGAGGAAUAUUGGUCAAUGGACGAGAGUCUGAACCAGCCAAGUAGCGUGAAGGAUGACUGCCCUAUGGGUUGUAAACUUCUUUUAUAUGGGAAUAAAACAGGGUAUGCAUACCCUCUUGUAUGUACCAUAUGAAUAAGGAUCGGCUAACUCCGUGCCAGCAGCCGCGGUAAUACGGGGGAUCCGAGCGUUCUCCGGGUUUAUUGGGUUUAAAGGGGGCGUAGGUGGGUUGUUAAGUCAGUUGUGAAAGGGUGCGGCUCAACCGUAAAAUUGCAGUGGAAACUGGCAGUCUUGAGUACAGUAGAGGUGGGCGGAAUUCGUGGUGUAGCGGUGAAAUGCGUAGA